rnacentral:rRNA from 1 species
GGUUGAUCCUGCCAGUAGUCAUAUGCUUGUCUAAAAGAUUAAGCCAUGCAUGUCUAAGUAAAACAUUUUUACUGUGAAACUGCGAAUGGCUCAUUAAAUCAGUUAUAGUUUAUUUGAUAAUACCUUACUACUUGGAUAUCCGUGGUAAUUCUAGAGCUAAUACAUGCUAAAAACCCCGACUUCUGGAAGGGGUGUAUUUAUUAGAUAAAAAACCAAUCGAGGCAACUCGUCUACUGGUGAAUCAUGAUAACUAUUCGAAUCGCAUGACUUUGUCGGCGAUGGUUCAUUCAAAU